UUUAUUUAUUACUGCAGCUGCCGAUAACAAGAAGAAUAAAAUCCAAGGCUCAUACUUCAACAACAAUAGCUAUGAAACUCAAGUAUUUGAUUUUGCUUUCAAUUUUUGUUUUUUCCAUCAAAGCGAAACCUUACUGUUACCCAUGUGGUAUGCUGCAAUGUACCAAACGUUACUGCGCAGAAGAUGAGGUUUUGAUUACAGAUAUUUGUGGAUGUUGUCAAGAAUGCCAGAAGAAAGUUUUAGGAGAAGGGGACAAUUGCCGAGGACCAUGGGUAAAUCGACCAAAUGCUUGUGAUAAGGGUCCCAUAUUCUUAUGGGACUUGUCAAAAAAUAAAAUAUAAUUGAAUAACGAUUUGCUUAUCAAAUAAAAUAUAUCUACAGUUUUUCGUGUGAGAACAAUG